GGCCAAGAGCUGGAGCAAGCGCGAUCUGCCGGUGCCUUGGCGGUCUGGCGUGCAGACAGACGUUCUCGGGGACGUCUAGAUGGAGAAAGUGCCCGGCGCCGUUGCUCCUUGUGCGUGUGAACGGAGACGACCUCAGCCCGUGACGGUCUCAGUUUGCGGAGCGCUUCACUCGCGUGAAAGAAACCACGUACAGAGAAGCUGAUACCUCGGCCUGUCCUAAUGUCUGGAAGGGAGGUUUGCUGCAUGGAAAACCAAAGUCAGCAUUCUAGUUUCCACCUGAUCACCAACCGGAAGAUCUGGGCAAAGCUGCUCUUUCUGGGUCCAGUUGGCUCUUUUAGUGUGGGAGCAAACCUGUUUGCCAUGGACAGGGGGCGGUUUGGAGAAGCAAAGUGGACCUAUUGGAAGGGCAUUGCCAGAAACAGAGGGUCCAUAGAGGUUCGGCUGAAGCCCUUGCUACCUGGCUGGAGACCCUCAGUUUUAAUCAUAGUGGAUGCAGCUGAAACCUUUUGUGCUUCUCUUUGGGGCACCAUUCUUCUCAAGACUAGUAGGUAAGUUCUUACUGAAUUGGAUUUUGGUAUUUUG
rnacentral:lncRNA from 1 species